UGGUGGUUAUGGCGGAGCGGCUGCACCCGAUCCCAUUCCGAACUCGGCUGUGAAACGCUCCAGCGCCAAUGGUACUUCGUCUCAAGACGCGGGAGAGUAGGUCGCUGCCAGGUC
rnacentral:rRNA from 2 species